UUAUCCUAAAACAAAAAAAAAAGGAAAAAGUGUAGCGCAUCAGUUUCUUUUAGUCCUGAGUGACGCUCUCUCGCAAGAACAAAAACACAAAAUCUCUCUGACGAGUAUUCAUCUCUCUGGUUCAAGCGAGGGCCUUCUAGGGUUUCAUCGAUUCUCUCUUUCGUUGGGAAUUUUUACCUAAUUGGUAUCAUCAUCAUCAACGGAUUCGGAUUGUGUUUCCAACGGGACUUGUGGAAGAGCAGCAGCACACACUCACUACACUAGGGUUUCGUUUCUUUAAUUGGUCCUCUCUCUCUGCAAUUUCUUGGCUGGUAAGUGGUAAGAAGGUUACUGCUACGUGACAGUCCUCACAGGUGCAUCCGUAUAUGUAGCUAUUAGGGAUGAUGCUGAAUCGUGGACCCAUAUGAUGGUAAAAUCCUCUUCACUGUAUGAAUAUGAUUCACCUCUGGUUCAAUCAAGGACGACGAUUCUCCUGAAGAACGAAGAUGAUUUCGUAUCCUUCAAUUUUAAUUGUUUUGCGAUUUGAUUCUGUUUCGUUGACUCUUCGGCUCUGUUUAUGCAGGAUUUUAUUGUUUUGUUUCCAAGGGGACUUGAUGGCACAUCGCACGAAGAUGCACAUAGUAGUCUCGUCUCUUCUGUAGUCAUGUGGUUUUGGAUGAUGCUUUGUGAUGCUAACGUUGAUUAAGAUGGAAUGCUAAAGAUGGUAGCGUCAUGGACUUUAACCCCUGGUUCCUCGUUAACCCUGGUCGUUUGUUAUCUUAUUCGUGUAUGCACUAUUAGUUAAUAGAUCUUAUGAGGAAUCAUAAUUAAAGUUUGGUUUACUUGUUACUUGCUACUAAGGCUCUGUUGCAGAUAGCAUUUCUCGAUGAUGAUCCAUGUAAGAGGAUAGGAAGGGAUCAGUGAAAACUACGUGUAUCCUAAGAGAGAAGGGCUUGGCUUGGUCACCGUUUAAUCUCGGUUCUGGUUUUGUAAGGACGUUUUCGACAUCUGAUUCAAAAGGAGUUAAUGGGCGGGCCUUGAGGAAUCAGAAUUAAAGAUUGAAUCAUUCCAUACCUUUUGCUACCAUAGAUGUCGAGGAGCUAUCUGUUGCUCAUCCUGCUGAAGUACGGAGCUUUGUGAUGGAUCUUCGAAUUACAACACGCUUCUAGAUAAUCUAAAUGGAAAGCCAUUGUCAUCAUCUCAGGUCGGGUCCCCAGUUCAAGUCUCCUGAUUAUAACGGGUUCUUCGUGCUACUCUAAAACCAAAGAGUUACGUACGAAUUUGGAUGAUGCUUUGUGAUGCUAACGUUGAUGAAGAUGGUUUUGGAUGAUGCUUUUAUCAAUCAGUGAUGGCUUUGACUGAUUGUCCUCAAGCAUUCUCAUGGGUUUUGGAUAAUGCUUUGUGAUGCUAACGUUGAUGAAGAUGGAAUGCUAAAGAUGGUUUUCAACAGCUGAUUCAAAUAGAGUUACUGGGUCUUGAGGAAUCAGAAUUUAAGGUCUUGAAGGACGGAGAAUAUGAUGGGAUCUUUUUUUGCUCUCUAGACAACAAACACAAAUUGUGGAAUCAUGAGGACUGUUUGGCAAGCAUGUCAAUAUCGAUUCUCAUAAAAGCUUGAAGGAAUGAGAUUAUGAUGAGAUCUUUUUUUUGCUCUCUCAACAACUACAACAGAUUGUGAAUCUUCAGGGAUUGCUGGCAAGCAUGUCAAUGUCGAUUCUCAGAAAAGCUUGGAGGAAUGAGAUUAUGAUGAGAUCUUUUUUUUUGCUCUAUCUAUCCCCGUUUUCUUAGCUUAUGUCAUGUUGUUACUCGAAGCUUCUAAAUGCCAACGAAAGAAACUGCAUCUGCCCAGUGAUCUGCUUCCUGCUAGUUCCAAAUCUGAUAUGACUAGUGAUCCUGGUGUUGUGAGGAACUACUUAAAUCUACUCUUGGUAGAGAGAAGAAGCUCAAUCGUCGACGCAAAGACUCCAUUGAUGUUUUCGAACAAGUCAGGCAAGUCAGACUCAUUACUCACAAUCACUCAAUACGUUCGCGUUAGUUUCCCAUCCAUAAGGAUAUUAUUAGGAAUGAUGGAGGAUACCAAGUCCUCUUCACUGUGUGCUUAAAAAGCUUGAAGCUAUGUUUAAGAUCGAAGAUAUGCUUAUGGGUUUGAAGAAUUAAAAAGGUUCAGUACCAAAAAGAAAAGCUUGAAGGAAUGAGAUUAUGAUGGGCUUUUUUGCUCUCUCAACAACAAAAACAAAUUGUGGAAGCUUCCGGAAAUGCUGGUAAACAUGUCAAUGUCGAUUCUCAGGAACUUACUGUUUUUGUUUGCAACGGGACCUGUGAUAGCAUAUCACACGAAGACGCAUACACAAGUUUCGUCUCUUCUGUGGUAUAUGAUCUUCUGAGUUUGCGCCGUUUGAUAAUAUUGCAGGUGUAGCUACGUAACAUGAGGAAUGGUUCCAGGUUCAAGGUUUUCUCAGUAGCUAGAUCUUGAUUGAGGAAUCCAUUCUUGUGCAUAAGGCUCUGGUGAAUGAGCUUAUUUUGCGCUGUUAAGCAAUGGUUAAUCAUAAAUGGGCCAUUCCUCUUGAUACCUUCAGUCACGAUGUCUCAUAGAUAUAUGUAGUUGUUAGAUUAUAAAAGUUGAGUACUGGUGACUGGUCAGUUCAUGGAGCACGAUACUAUUGCAGGUCUUCCAUGGCUACAGUGGCCAAACUGAUAUCGGUAUGCUCCUUUUUUACUUUGUUAGGUUUCGAUGUGCAGGUAUAUUUACCAUUUACUGCUUCCAACCAAAUUUGUCGCCCAGCUGUACUUUACCCAGCAGUCAUUAUCAGUUUGUAUUCGAACAGGCUUUAUAUCUCGUUGAUGUCGUAUCAAAUCCUAAAAAAAAUUGAGAUUCCUCUGUUUAGAAUCAUUGAUUGUUUCGUUAAACAUUAUACUUUAGGCUUAGGUCUGAAAGUACUAGAAAUUUUAUUAUCGGAAGCUCGGAACAAUCAUCUUUAACUUUAACUUGAAGAUUGGUUAAA